UUUCAUGUGUCAUUCAUUGUUAAAUCUUGAGAAAGCAGUAGAUUGAUUUCUAGAUUGCUACUCCUAAUUCGGGAAUUAGUAGAUAAUAUUUAUAGACUUUUCGAGUAAUGUGGUGGAAUCCGAUGCCUUUGUUACUUGGUCAUCAAGGUAAUCUUUAUCUAUUUUUUUGUUUUAGUUACUUUACCGUCAACUAGGUUAGUGUUAAAUUAAUUUGGAUUCGAUUAUUUUUUCUAUUUUCAUACAUUCUCUGUGGGUUCGACAUCGCUCUUGCAUAUUUGUGCUGCAACCGAUUUGAGCACUUACGAGUAACAUUUUAAAACACAUUAGGCCGCCUUGACCCGCCAAGAAGACGUUUUAACUCGCCAAGGGGCCGCCUUGACCCGCCAUAUGGGCUGCCUUGACCCUCCUUGACCCGCUUAGAGUUGCCUUGACCCACCUAAGCCCUCCUAGGGCCACCAAAGGGCCUCCAAGGGGUCGCCAUGACCCGUCUAGUGCCGCCUUGACCCAUCUAAGGCCACCUAGGGUCCGCCAUGACCCGCCUGACUCGCUUUGACCCGCCUUAACCCGUCUUGACCUGCUUUGAACCGCCUUGAGGCACCUUGGGGCGCCUUGACCCGCCUUGGCACUCUUAGGCCUGCCUAGGGCAGUCAAGGGGUCGCCAUUACCCUCAUAGAGUUGCCAAUGGGCUGUCUAGGGCCGCCAAGCGGCCGCCUUGAACUGCAUAGGGUCGUCUUGACCCGCCUUGAGCAGCAUUGGUCCACCUUGGCCGCCUUGACCCGCCAAGAGGCCGCCUUGACUCGUCUAGGGCCACCAAGGUGCCGCCUUGACCCGGUUGGGGCCGCAAAAGAGCCGCCUUCACCCGUCUAAUGCCGCCAUGGGGUCGCUUUGACCUGCUAAUGGGCUACCUUGACCCUCUUACACCUGCCUAGGGCCGCCUUUACCCUCCUAUUCCCAUCUAGGGCCGCCUUCACCCGCUUUGAACCGCCAGGAGGCGCAUUAGGCCGCAUUGACCCUCAUAGACUCGCUUUGACCCGCCUUAACCCGCCUUGACCCACUUUGAACCGCCUUAAGGCACCUUUGGCCGCCUUAACCCGCAUUGACCCUCUUAGGCCCGCCAAAGGCAGUCAAGGGGUCGCCAUGACCCUCCUAGAUUGUCUUGGGCCAUCUUGACCCGCCUUGGACCGCCUUGAGCAGCAUUGGUCCGCCUUGGCCCACCUUUACUCGCCAGGAGGCCGCCUUGACUCGUCCAGGGCCACCAAGGGGUCGCCUUGCCCCGGUUGGGGCCGCAAAAGAGCCUCCUUCACCUGUUUAAUGCUGCCAUAGGGUCGCCUUGACCUGCUAAUGGGCUACCUUUAUCCUCCUAGGCCCUUUUAGGGCCACCUUGACCCUCUUUGAACCGCCUUGAGGCGCCUUGGGUCACCUUGACCCGCUUUGGGCCGCCUUGACCUGGCUAGGGCCACCAAUGGGCCACGUUCAACCGUCUAAGGCCACCAAGUGGCAGCCUUGACACGCCAAGGGGUUGCCUUGACCCUCCUAGACCCGCCUAGGCCCGCCUUAACUCUCCUAGGCCCUCCUAGGCUCGCCUAGGGCCACAAACAGGCCGCUAUGACUCGCCAAGGGGCCGUCUUGACCCGUUUUGAACCGCCUUGACCCUCCUCGGCCCGCCUGGGACAGUUAAGGGGUUGCCAUGACCCUCCUAGGGUUGCUAAUGGGCUGUCAAGGGUUUGCCUUGGCCCUCCUUGGGCCCGUCUUGACCCGCCUUGACUCGUUUUGACCCGCCUUGGUUCGCUUUAAUCUGCCUUGACCCGCGAAUUGGCUUCCUUGACUCGUCUUUGAACCGCCAUGACUUGCUAAGGGGUCGCCAUGACCGUCUAAGGCCACCUAGGGGCCGCCUUGACCCGCCAAGGGGUCACCAUGACCGUCUAAUGCCAAGAGGCCGCCCUAACCCGCAUUGACCAGCCUUGACACGCCUUAACCGGCUUUGACCCGCCUUAACCUCCUUGAGACACCUUGGGCCGCCAUGACCCGCAUUAACCCUCUUUGGACCGCCAAGAGGCCGCCUUGACCCAUUUAGGGACACCAAGGAGCCGCCUUGACCCGGCUAGGGUGCCAAAGGGUCGCGUUCACCCCUCUAAGGUCACCAAGUGCUUCCCUUGACUCGCCUAGGGGGCUGCCUUGACCCUCGUAGGCCCUUCUAGGGCAGCCAAGGGGCCGCCAUGACUAGCCAUGGGGUCUCCAUGACCCGUCUUGACCUACUUUGAACCGCCUUGAGGCACCUUGGGCCGUUUUGACCCGCCUUCGCACUCUUAGGCCUGUCUAGGGCAGUCAAAGGGUCGCCGUGACCCUCCUAGAGUUGCCAAUGGGCUGUUUAGGGCCGCCAAACGGCCGCCUUGAACCGUAUAGGGUCGUCUUGACCAGCCUUAAGCAGUAUUGGUCUGCCUUGACUCGUCUAGGGCCACCAAGAUGCUGCCUUGACUCGGUUAGGGCCGCAAAAGAGCCGCCUUCACCCGUCUAAGGCCGCCAAGUGGCUGUCUUGACCUGCUAAUGGGUUUCCUUGACCCUCCUAGACCUGCCUAAGGCCGCCUUGACCCUCCUAGGCCCUUCUAGGGUAGCCAAGGGAUCGCCUUGACCCACUUUGAUAUGCCUUGACCCUCUUUGACCCGCUUUGACCCGCCUUGGUCCGCCUUAAUCCGCCUUGACCCGCGAAGAGGCCGCCUGGAUUCGUCUAGGGCCACCAAGGGGCCGCCUUGACCCUCCUAGUGCCGCCAAGAGGCCGCCUUGACCCAUCUAGUGACACCAAGGAGCCGACUUGACCCGCCAAGGGGGCUGCCUUGACCCUCCUUGACCUACAUAGGGUCGUCUUGACCCUCUUAGGCCCUUCUAGGGCCGCCAUGACUAGCCAAGGGGUCGCUUUGACCCAUCUAAGGCCACCUAGGUGCCGCCUUGACCCUCCUAGGGCCGCCAAGGGGCCGCCUUGACCCAUCUAAGGACACCAAGGAGCCGCCUUGACCCAUCUAGGGACACCAAGGAUUUGCCUUGACCCGGCUAGGGCUACCAAGGGGCCGUGUUCACCCAUCUAAGGUCGCCAAGUGGCCGCCUUAAUCCGCCAAGGGGCUGCCUUGAGCCUCCUAGACUCGUCUAGGGCCGCCUUGACCCAUCUUAGGUCACCUAGUUGCCACCAUGACCCGCCUUGACCCUCUUUGGGCCGCCAAGGGGCCGCCUUGACCCUCCUUAACCCGUAUUGACCCUUUUGAACCGCCUUGAGGCAUCUUUGGCUGCCUUGACCCGCCUUGACACGCCUUAGGCUGCCAAGAGGCCACCUUAACCCAUUUAGGGACACCAAGGAGACAUCUUAACCCGGCUAGGGCUGCCAUGGGGCCGCGUUCACCGGUCUAAGGUCGCCAAGUGGCCGCCUUGACCUGCCAAAAGGGCUGCCUUGACCCUCCUAGACCCGUCUAAGGCCGCCUUGACCCUCUUAGGGCCGCCAUGACUCGCCAAGGGGUUGCCUUGACCCAUCUAAGGCCACCUAGGUGUCGCAUAUACCUGCCUUGACCUUCCUAGGUCUAUCUAGGGACACCAAGGACUCGCCUUGACCCGUCUAGGGCUGCUAAGGGGCCGCGUUCACCCGUCUAAGGCCCCCAAGUGGCAUCCUUGAGCUGCCAAGGGGGCUGUUUUGAGCCUCUUAGACCCGCCUAAGGACACCUUGACCCUCUCAGGCUCUCAUAGGGCCACCAAAGGGCCUCCUUGACCCUCUUAGACCCGCCUAGGGGCCGCCUUGAUCCAUCGUAGGCCACCUAGUUGCCGCCAUGACCUGCCUUGACCAUCCUAGGGCCGCCAAGGGGCCACCUUGACCCGCAUUGACCCUCUUUGAACUGCCUUGAGGCAUCUUGGGCCGGCUUGACCCGCCUUGACAUGCCUUGGCCAAGAGGCCACCUUGACCCAUCUAGGGACACCAAGAAGACGCCUUGACCCGGCUAGGGCCGCUAAGGGGCCACGUUCAACGGUCUAAGGCCGCCAAGUGGCCGCCUUGACCUGCCAAGGAGGCUGCCUUGACCCUCCUAGACUUGCCUAGGGCUGCCAUGACUAGCCAAGGGGUCGCCUUGACCCAUUUAAGGCCACCUAGGUGUUGCCUUGACCCGCCUUGACCCUCCUAGGUCUAUCUUGGAAUGCCAAGGGGGCCGCCCUGAUCCGCCUUAACACGUCUUGACCCGCCUUAACCUCCUUGAGGCACCUUGGGCCGCCUUGACCCAUUUAGGGACACUAAGGAGCCGCCUUGCCCCAGCUAGGGCUCCAAGGGGUCGUGUUCACCCGUCUAAAGUCGCCAAGUGGCCGCUUUGACUUGCCUAGGGGGCUGCCUUGACCCUUGUAGGCCCUUUUAGGGCAGCCAAUGGGCUGCCAUGACUUGCCAAUGGGUCGCCAUGACCCGUCUAGGGCAGCUAAGGGGCCACCUUGACCCGGCAAGGGCUGCCAAGAGGCCGCGUUCACCCGUCUAAGGCCGCUUGACCUGCUAAUGGGCUACCUUAACCCUCCUAGAUCUGCCUAAGGCCGCCUUGACCCUCCUAGGCCCGUCUAGGGUAGCCAAGGGGCCGCCUUGACCCACUUUGAUCCGCCUUGACUCUCUUUGACCCGUUUUAACCCACCUUGAGCCGUCUUGGUCCGCCUUAAUCCGCCAAGAGGCCGUCUGGAUUCAUUUAGGGCCACCAAGGGGCCGGCUUGACCCGGUUAGGGCCGCUAAGGGGGCCGCCUUGACCCGUUUUAACCGGCCUUGACUAGCUUUGAACCGCCUUAGGCCACCAAGAGGCCGCCUUGACCCAUCUAGGGACCCAAGGAGCCGACUUAACCUGCCAAGAGGGACACCAAGGAGCCGCCUUGACCCGGCUAACCCGGCUAGGGUUGCUAGCUAGGGGGCCGCGUUCACCCGUCUAAGGCCGCCAAGUGGCCGCCUUGACCCGCCAAGGGGGUUGCCUUGACCCUCCUAGACCCGCCUAGGGCCGCCUUGACCCUCUUAGAGCCGUCAUAACCCGUCUGAGGCCGCCAAGAGACCGCGUUCACCCGUCUAAGGUCGCCAAGUGGCCGCCUUGUCCCGCCAAGAGGGCUGCCUUGACCCACCUAGACCCACCUAGACCCACCUAGGCCGCCGUGACCCUCUUAGGCUCUCAUAAGGCCACCAAGUGGUCGCCAUAACCCGCCUAGGGCUGCCUUGACCCACCUAGACCCGCCUAGGCCGCCUUAACCCACCUAGACUCACCAAGGGGCAGCCAUUACUCACCAAGGGGCCGCCUUGACCCAUCUUAGGCCACCUAGGGGCCGCCUUCACCCGCCUUGACCCAUAUUAGGCCACCAAGGGGCCGCCUUGAUCCGCUUUGACUCACCUUAACCCGCCUUGAGAUGUUUUGAACCGUCUUGAGGCACCUUUUCCCGCCUUGACCCUCCUAGGGCCGAAAAGAGGCCGCCUUGAAUUGACCCAUCUAGAGUAAGGUUGGGCAUAAAGCUCGUAGCAGGAAAAAAAAAAAAACCCCACAAACCGACCCAAACCGGCUGGGCCGGGCCGGCCUUUUUCCGAUACUUUUAUAAAAAAUGUUCAUUUCGGGCCGGUGCUUGACUAUGCCGAUCCGAGCCCGGGCCUUGAUUUUUUAAUAAUACUUGAGCCCGAAAGCCCGAACUAUAGUUAUGUUGUGUCAUUUAGCCCAUUAUGGGCUAGUUUUUCAAGCCGAGCUAGAGUAUUUCAAGUUGCAAUUAUACAAACAACCACAUGAGAUUAUCACCACCUUAUAAAACCUUAUCUUUCUAAUCUUAAAGAGCAGCUAGAUCGGCAUAUGGAACACAAAGACUAUCACUUUCUCAGUUUCUCUUCUCUCUUUCUAAAACACAGAGACGCAUAUGGAACCAAGUUUUAUCGGCAUAGAUCAAUCGAUGAAGAAGCUUCCUCUUUUUUCUUCUCUCUUCUCUCUUUCUCUCGUUCUUAAACAAGGUCGGCAAAGAUCAAUCGUUGAGAAGCUUUCUCUUAAAAUUUGAAGAAAAAAGCACGAUCUUGGAUUUGUCACUGAAAAUUGUGGGUUUUGUACAACAAUUUUCUUUUUCUGGGAACUAUAAAAUUGGGUCCAGUGUUUUUCUCUCUCUAAUUUCUUUGUCCUAGUGUUUUGCUCAGUUACUUAGAAGUUCUAGAUUUAAUUGAUAUUGUAUUGUGGUAUGUGUGAUUAGUUUGCAGUUAACACUACUAAGCAGAUUGGGUGGAAAUUGAGAAAGGACAAAGGAGAACACAGGUUUACUGAGAAUGGAGCAAAUAUGUCACUGAAAACAAGCCGAUGGCCCAGCAAGACCGGCCGGUUCUUGUCGGUCCGGGCUUUCGUCGGUUUUAGAAAUUUUCAGAGCAGAGACCGACCUGUUUGACUAGUGACCGGUCCAAGCCCGGUCCUUGAAAAAUUAGUGCCGGUCUGGGACCGUGCCCAGCCCAAAUCUACAGACACCAAGGAGCCGUCUUGACUCGGCUAGGGCCGCCAAGGGGCCGCGUUCACCUGUCUAAGGCCGCCAAGGGGGCUGCCUUGAUCCUCCUAGACCCGGGUGCCUAGGGCCACCUUGACCCUCCUAAGCCCUCUUAGGGCCGCCAAGAGGCCUCCAUGACUCGCCAAGGGUCGCCUUGACCCAUCUAAGGCCACUUAGGUGCCGCCAUGACCCACCUUAACCCUCCUAGAGCCGCCAAGGGGCAGCCUUGACCCACUUUGACCCUCCUAGGGCCGCCUUGACCCUCCUUAACCAUCCUAGAGACCGCCUUAACCCACAAAAGGACCGCCUUUACACUCCUAGGGUUGUUAAGAGGCCGCCUUGAACCACCUUGGGCCACAAAUGGGCAACAUUUACCUGGCUAGAGCAGCCACCUUGACCCGCCUUAACCCGCUUUAAACCGUCUUGACCUUCCUAGGCCCGCAUAGGGCAGUCAAGGGGUCGUCAUGACCCUCCUAGGGUUGCCAAUGAGCUGUCUAGAGCCGCCAAGCGGUCGCCUUGAAUCGUAUAGGGUAGCCAUGACCCGCCUUGACAUGUCUUGGGCCGUCUUGACCCGCCACGAGCCGCUUUGACCCGCCUUUAGCCACCAUGGGCAGCCUUGGCCCGCGUUAGGCCGUCUUAACCUUCCUUAAAUCGGCCUUGACCCGCCAAGAGGCCGCCUUGACUCGUCUAGGGCCACUAAGGGGCAGCCUUCACCCGGUUAGGGCCGUCAAAACGGCCGCCUUAACCCAUCUAAUGCCGCCAAGGGCUCACCAUGACCCGCUAAUGGGCGACCUUGACCCUCCUAGACCUGCCUAGGGCCGCCUUGACCCUUUUAGGCCGGUCUAAGGCUGCCUAGGGGCCGCCUUGACCUGCCUUAGGCCCCUUUAACCUGUCUAGGGCCUCCUUGAGCCACGUUGACACUCCUAGGCCCGCCGCCCUAGGGUUGCCAAUGAGCUAUCUAGGGCCGCCAAGCAGCCGCCUUGACCUGCCUUGACCCGCGUUGGUCCGCUUUGGCGCUCCUUAAUCCGCUUUGACCUACCAAUAGGCUGCCUUAACUGGCCUAGGGCCACCAAAGGGUCUCUUUCACCUGUCUAAUACCGCCAAGGGGUCACCUUGACCCUCCUAGACCUGCUUAAGGCCAUCUUGACCCUCCUAGGCCCGUCUAGGGCCGACAAAGGUCCGCCUUAACUCGCCUUGACCCGCUUUGAACCACCUUGAGGCGCCUUAGGCUGCCUUGACCCGCCUUGAUCCUCUUAGGGCUGCCUUGACCCGCCUAUGGUCGUUAAGGGGCCGCGUUCACCCGUCUAAGGCUGCCAACUGGCCACCUUAACCCGCCAAGGGGCUGGCUUGACCCUCCUAGGCUCGUCUUGGGCCACCAAGGGGCCGCCAUGACUCGCCAAGGGGUCGCCAUGACCCGUCUAGGACCGCCUUGACCCAUCUAAGGCCACCUAGGGGCCGAAUUGACCCAUCUAAGGCCACCUAGGGGCCGCCUUGACCUGUAUUGGCCUGCUUUAGGUCGUCUUAACCUGCCUAGAACCGCCUUGACCUGCCUAGGGCCGCCAAGCUGCCACCUUUACCCGCUUUGGCCUACCCUGGGCCGUCUUGACCUGCCUUCAGCCGCCUUGACCUGCCUUCAGCAGCCUUGGUCCGCCUUGACCGCAAGGUUGUGCUGACCCUCCUAGACCCGCCUAGGGCCGCCAUGACCCAUCUACGGCCACCUAGGUGCCGCUAAGGGGCCGCCUUGACCCUCAUAGGCCCUUCUAGGGCAGCCAAGGGGCUGCCUAGGGUUACCAGUGGGUUGUCUAGGGCCGCCAAUGUGUUGCCUUGACCCGCCUAGAGCCGCCAAGGGGCCACCUUGAACUGUCUAGGGCCGCCAAGCGGCCGCCUUGACCCACCUUGGGCCGUCUUAACCCGCCUUGACCCACCUUAAGCCGCCUUGGUCCACCUUGGCCCCCCUUAAUCGGCCUUGACCCUCCAAGAGGCCUCCUUGGCUCGUUUAGGGCCACCAAGGGGCCUCCUUGACUUGGGUAGGGCCGCUAAAUGGCUGCCUUCAUCCGUCUAAUGCCGCUAAGGGAUCGCCUUAACCAGCUAAUGGGCUACCUUGACCCUCGUAUACCUGUCUAGGGCCGCCUUGACCCUCCUAGGCCCGCCUACGGCAGUCAUGGAGUUGCCUUGACCCGCCUUGGGCCGUCUUGACCCGCCUUGAGCCGUCAUAAUCCGCCUUGACCCGCCAAGAGGCCGCCUUGACCCGUAAAGAGGCCGCUUUGACCUGCUUUAGACCACUUUAAUCCGCCUUGACUUAAUCUGUUUUAACCCGCCAAGAGGCCUCCUUAAUCCGCCCUGACCCACCAAGAGGCCGCCUUAAGCCGCCUUGGUCCACCAAGGGGCCGUCGUGACCUGGUUAGGGUCACAAAAGAGCCGCCUUCACCUGUCAAAUGCCGUCAAUGGGUCGCCUUGACGUACUAAUGGGCCACCUUGACCCUUCUAGACCUGCCUCGGGCCGGUUUGACCCUCCUAGGCCGGUCUAGGGCCACAAAGGAGCCGCCUUGACCCGUCUUGACCCGCUUUGAACCUCCUUGACCCUCCUAGGGCCGCCUUGACCCUCAUAGGGCCUCCAAGGGGCCGCCAUGACUAGCCAACAGGUCGCCAUGACACAUCUAAGGCCACCUAAGGGCCGCCUUGACCCGCCUUGACUCGCUUUGAACUGCCUUGAGGCACCUUGGGUCGCCUUAACCCAUCUAGGGACACUAAGGAGCCACCUUGACACAGCUAGGGUGUCAAGGGGCCGCGUUCACCCGUCCAAGAUUCUACCUUGACCCUCCUAAGUCCUCCUAGGCAGCCCCGGCUAUGGCCGCCUUUACCUGUCUUUACCCGCCUUAAACCGCCUAGGGCCGCCUUGACCCAUCUAGGUCCAUCAAGGGGCUGCCUUGACCUGGUUAGGGCAGCGUUCACCCGUCUAAGGCUGCCAAGGGGUUGCCUUGAUCAGCCAAGGGACUGCCAUGACCCUCCUAGACCGGUCUAUUGUCGCCUUUACCCUCUUAGGCCUGCCUAGGGCCACCAAAUGGCCGCCAUGACCCUCCUAGGCCCAUCUAGGGCCGCCUUGACCCGACUUGAACCGCUUUGACCCUCCUAGGCCCUUCUAAGGCAGCUAUGGGGCUGCCUAGGUCACCAAUGGGUUUUGUAGGUCCGCCACUGGGUUGCAUUGACCUGCUAAUGGGCUACCUUGAUCCUCCUAGGCCUCUCUAGGGCCGGCAAGGGGCAACCUUAAUCCGCUUUGAACCGGCUAGGGCAACCAAGGGGCUGCGUUCACCCGUCUAAGGCCGCCUUGACCCGCCAAAGGGUAGCCUUAACCCACUUUGAACCGCCUUGACCCGGCUAGGGCCACCAUGGGGCCACGUUCACCCGUCUAAGGCCACUUUGACCCUCCAAGGGGGCUGUCUUAACCCUCCUAGACCCGCCUAGGGCCGCCAAGGGACCGCCAUGACUCAUCAAGUGGUCGUCAUGACCCGUCUAGGGCCGCCAAGGGGCCUUAUUCACCCGUCUAAGGCCGCCAAGUCGCCACCUUGACCCGCCAAGAGGGCUGCCUUGACCCACCUAGACCUACCUAGGGCCGCCUUGACCCUCCUAGGCUCUCAUAGGACCACCAAGGGGCCGCCAUGACUCGCCAAGGGACGCCUUGACGCAUCUUAGGCCACCUAAGGGCCGCCUUCACCCACCUUAACCCCUCUUAGGCCACCAAGGGGCCGCCUUGAUCCGCUUUGACUCGCCUUAACCGCCUUAACAUGAUUUGAACCGCCUUAAGGCACCUUUGGCAGCCUUGACCCACCUUAACCCUCCUAGGGCCGCCAAGAGGCCGCCUUGACCCAUCUAGAGACAUCAAGAAGCCGCCUUGUCCCGGUUAGGGCUGCCAAGGGGCUGCGUUCACCCGUCUAAGGUCGCCAAGUGGCCGCCUUGACCUGCCAAGGGGGCUGUUUGACCCUCAUAGACCCGCCUAGACCCUCCUAGGGACGCAUGACUCACCAAGGGGUCGUCUUGACCUAUCUAAAGCCACCUCGGUGCAGCCAUGACCCGCCUUGACUCUCCUAAGGAUGUCAAGGGGCCGCCUUGACCCGCUUUGACCCUUCUAGGGCCGUCUUGACCCGCUUUGAACCGCCUUGGAACAUCUUGACCCGCCUUGGGCCGCCUUCACUCUUUUAGGGCCGCCAAGGGGCCACGUUUAGCCGUCUAAGCCCACCAAGUGGCCGCCUUGACACGCUAAGGGGGCUGCCUUGACCCUCCUAGACCCGCCUUAACUCUCCUAGACCCUCCUAGGCUCGCCAAGGGCCACCAACGGGCUGCCAUGACUCGCCAAGGGGCCGCUUUGAACCGCCUUGAGGCGCCUUGACCCGCCUUAGCCGCCUUGACUCUCGUAGGCCCGUCUAGGUCUACCAAAGGGCCGCCUUGACCCACCUUGGCCCGCCUAAGGACCGCCUUUACCCACCUUGACCGGUCUAGGGCCACCAAGGUGUAACAUUGACCAGGCUAGGUGUUGCCUUGACCCUCGUAUGUCUUCCUAGGCGGCCCCUGCUGGGCCCCCCUUAACCCGCCUUAACCCGCCUUGGGUCCCCUUAACCCGUCUAAGGCCGCAUUGACCGGUCUUGGGCUGCCUUGACCUCCUAGGCCCGCAUAGGGCAAUCAAGGGGUCGCCAUGACCCUCCUGGGGUUGCCAAUGAGCUAUCUAGGACAGCCAAGCGGUCGCCUUGACCCGCAUAGGGUCGCCCUGACCUAUCUUAGGCCGUCUUGACCGGCCUUGAGUCGCCUUGGGCUGCCUUGACCUCCUAGGCCCGCAUAGGGCAGUCAAGGGGUCGCCAUGACCCCUCUUGGGGUUGCCAAUGAGCUAUCUAGGACUGCCAAGCGGUCGCCUUGACCCGCAUAGGGUCGCCCUGACCUGUCUUGGGCCGUCUUGACCCGCCUUGACCGCCUUAAGCCACGUUGGUCCACCUUGGCCCGCCUUAAUCCGCCUUGACCCGCCAAGAGGCCGCCUUGACUCGUCUAGGGCCGGCCACCAAGGGGACGCCUUAACCUGGUUAGGGCCAUCAAACGGCCGUGUUAACCCAUCUAAUGCCGCCAAGGGGUCGCCUUGACCUGCUAAUGGACUACCUUGACCUCUAGACCUGCCUAGAGCCGCCUUGACCCUUAUAGGCCAGUCUAGGGCCGCCAAGCAGUCGCCUUGACCCACAUAGGGUGGCCCUGACCUGUCUUGGGCCGUCUUAACCGGCCUUGAGCCGCCUUGGGCCUCCUUUGCCCGCAUUGGGCAGUCUUGACCCGCCUUAAGCCACGUUGGUCCACCUUUGCCCGACUUAAUCCGCCUUGACCCGCCAAGAGGCCGCCUGGACUCGUCUAGGGCCGGCCGUCAAAGGGACGCCUUAACCCGGUUAGGGCCAUUAAAUGGCCGCGUUAACCCAUCUAAUGCCGCCAAGGGGUCGCCUUGACCUACUAAUGGACUACCUUGACCCUCCUAGACCUGCCUAGAGCCGCCUUGACCCACAUAGGCCGGUCUAGCGCUGCCAAGGGGCCGCAUUAACCCGCCUUGACCCGCUUUGAGCCGCCUUGAGGCGUCUUGGGCAGCCUUGACCCUCCUUGGGUGCCCUUAACCCGUCUAGGGCCGCCUUGACCCUACUAGGCCCGCCUAGGACAGUCAAGGGGUUGCCAUGACCCUCCUAGGGUUGCCAAUGAGCUGUCUAGCCCACCUUGAUCCGCCAUGGGCCGUAUUGACCUGUCUUGGCCUGCCUUGGGCCGUCUUGACCCGCAUUGGUCCGCCUUAAUCCUCUUUGACCAGCCAAGAGGCCCCCUUGACUCGCCUAGGGCCGCCUUCACCUGUCUAAAACUGCCAAGGGGUCACCUUGACCUGCUAAUGGGCUUCCUUGACCCUCCUAGGCCCGUCUAGGGCCGCCAAGACCCGCUUUCAACCGCCUUCAGGCACUUUGGGCCGUUUUGACUCGCCUUGACCCUCCUAGGCCGCCAAGAGGCCGCCUUGACCCAUCUAGGGACACAAAGGGGCCACCUUGACCCGGUUAGGGCCAUCAAAGGGCCGCGUUCACCUGUCUCAGGCCGCCAAGUGGCCGCCUUGACUCACCAAGGUGGUUGCCUCGACCUUCCUAGACCCACCUAGGGCCGCCUUGACCCUCAUAGGCCCUCCUAGGCCUCCUAGACCAGCUAAGCGGGUCGCCAUGACCCUUCUAAGGCAGCCAAGGAGCAGCCUUGACCCGCUUUGAACCGCUUUCAGGCACCUUGGGCCGCCUUGACCCACUUUGACCCGCCUUGUCCCUCCUAGGACGCUAAGAGGACGUCUUGACCCAUCGAGGGACACAAAGGGGCCGCCUUGACCCGGCUACCCGGCUAGGGCCGCCAAGGGGCCGCGUACACCCAUCUAAGGCCGUCUUGACUCACUUUUAACUGCUUUCAGGCACCUUGGGCUACCUUGACCCUCUUAGACCCGCCUAAGGCCGCCUUGACCCUCAUAGGCCCUCCUAGGGCAGCCCCUUGGCUGCCUAGGGUCUCCAGUGGGUUGUCUAGGGCCACCAAGGUGCUGCCUUGACCCGCUUAGGGCCACAAAGAGGCCACCUUGAACUGCCUAGGGCCGCCUUGACCCAUCUAAGGCCACCUAAGGGCCGCCUUGACCCUCCUAGGCCCAUCUAUAGACUCCAAGGGGCCACCUUGACCCUCUUUGACCCGCCUUAACCCACCAUGACCCGUUUUGAAUAGCCUUAAGGCACCUUCGGCCGCCUUGACCCAUCUAAGGACACCAAAGAGCCACCUUAACCCGGCUAGGGCGCCAAGGGAUAGCGUUCCCCCUUCUAAGGCCGCCAAUUGGCCGCCUUGACCCGCCAUGGGGGCUGCCUUGACCCUCUUAGGCCCUUCUAGGGCAGCUAAAGGGCCGCGAUGACUCGCCAAGGGGUUGCCAUGACCCGUCUAGGGCAGCCAAGGGGCCGUCUUGACUUUGCUAGAGUCGCCAAGGGCCGCUUUCACUCGUUUAAGGCCGCCAAGUGGCCGUCUUGACCUGCUAAUGGGCUACCUUAACCCUCCUAGACCUGUCUGAGGUCGCCUUGACCCUCCUAGGCCCGUCUAGGGUAGCCAUGGGGCCGCCUUGACCUGCUUUGACCUGCCUUGAGCCACCUUGGUCUGCCUUACCCCGCCUUAAUCCACCUUGACCAGCCAAGAGGCCGUCUUGAUUCGUCUAGGGCCAACAAGGGGCCACCUUGACCCAAUUUGGGCCGCUAAAGGGCUGCCUUAACCACCUUUGAAUCGCCUUGACCCGCCUUGAUCCAAAUUGGGCUGCCUUGACCCUCCUAGGGCCGCCAAGAGGCCGCCUUAACCCAUCUAGGGACACCAAAGGAUCGCCUUGACCCGACUAGAGCCGCCAAGGGGCCGCUUUGACCCAUCUAGAGCCGCCAAGUGGCCGCCAUAACCCGCUAAUGGGCUGCCUUGACUCGCCAUGGGGGCUGCCAUGACCCUCCUAUGCCCUCUUAGGGAGACCAAGGGGUUGCCAUGACUUGCUAAUGGGCUACCAUAGUUUCUUUCUAUUUGUUUGUGCUUAUUGGCGCCUCCUAACAUCUUUUAAACCAAUCAAGCAUUAAAAGCUCACGGUUUAAAUUAGUUUACUAGUGAUCGAGCGAUUUCAGCCAAAACCCUUUAUUAUAGCACACGAAUUUUUGGGCAGUUUAACUAUUUCUGGGCCACAGUUUUUUUCUAUUUGUUUGUGCUUAUAGACAUCUCCUAACAUCUUUUGAACCAAUCUAGCAUUAAAAGCUCGCGGUUUAAAUCAGUUUACUCGCGAUUUCAGUUAAAACCGCUUACUAUAGCAUACAAAUAUUUAGGCAGUUUAACUAUUUCUGGGCCACAAUUUUUUUCCAUUUG
rnacentral:lncRNA from 1 species